UCUACUUUCCCCAGAAGCUCUUGUUAAUAGUUCAAUUAUCUGAGAACAUACUAAUGCUAGGCUAAACUUUAUAUACUGCCAAACUUUUUAAAUGAAAUGGUAGAAAAAACUAUAUGGGGGAGAAACUACAUCUGCCUGCUUCUUUACGUGGGAAUAAACACGAAUUCAACUUGAUUGAAUGCUGCUUACUAAUUAGUAAGCUUGUAACUUUUCAGUCCGUUGCAUAACCCUCUCGCAAUCUCUGAUCUGCCAAAUAUGAGAUAUGACUACUACUCAGCGCAAUCCUGGUCAAUUAGGUGAGCGUGGAGGCAGAUCGUGCCCUUCCUUUGCCCGUUUUAUCUUAGCCGGAGAUCACGAUCGCCGGAUCACCGGAAUCCCGGGUAGCUCCGCUCGUCGACUGACGCAAUGUCGCACCACAGUCAUCUCCCGGUUACCCUGUUCCGGUUCGAAAUCGGAGUCCGACGGACGUGCUCAGCCCGUGCCGUCUUGGCUAUCGCGGGGCACCCGCUUUCUCGGCCGUGAGUGCACAAGUGUUACCAACGUUAUGUAAUGGCCAAGUUGGCGGUGUGCGAAAGGCGUAGGGCUGGGCGCAGGGCGGUGAGCGGUGAGCGGAGGAGGGAGCGGGCGGGACUGUGGCCCGUGUCAAUAGGGCGGCCAGUUUGAAGCCCGCCUUUGUCUGCGUUGCCCAAUAAAUGUGUCAAGUGCAGGCGGCGUGCCUCCGCCAUUGACGUGGCCACCUAUACGUCAGCCCCUCCUCGGAAAAGUGAAUGAAUAACAUGAGAGGAACCCGGACCGGCAGACCGAAGUUAAGUUACCCUGGAAGUUAAUAACAAACUAAAACUCAAAACUAAGAAAGCGAGUCAUUUUCUUUCCAUUUACUUCUCGAUUAUCCCUUUGGAAGCUGAACGAUAUAGUUGUCCGAUCCGGUUCAUUUUACCACCUACAAUGGGAACAGCCGGACAUGGAAAAUAUGAUGGAAUCAAUAUACUCUCUGCAAGGGUAUGCAAGUAAAGCGCACACACCGGCGAAAUAUGCACACGUGAAGUCGCACAUGUGUGCGUCGAGAGGUUUUUGGGUGUCCCUCGGAGUUGUCUUCAUUUAAAUGCCAAGCCCUGAUUGACAGCCACCCAUUUAAAGUAUCUUCAACCGCCUUCUUGGCCCAAAAAAUGAUAUAUAUGGGCUCCCUUGAGCCCAUUCGCCAAUCGCCGAGCAUUCACCUUGCCAGGGCUAAUUGUCGAUGAUAGGGAGCAUAUGUACAUUCCUCUGUCAAACUGGUUAAGGAAUUGGGCUUGGGCUUGAAGCUAAGGAAGAUAGCUAGUCGGGUAAACUACGUUUCAGAUGAAAAUACAGUUCGCAGAGGAACCCAUUUUAUUAACCCAGAAACCAUAAGCCAGAUGUUAUGGCAAAAAAGUGGGAAACUAACCAUCGAGUGGCCAAUUUGGUCCAAUCAUUCUGGAAAACUGCUGUUCAAAGUGACUCAGAUUAAAGUAAAUCCGCGAAAA
rnacentral:sRNA from 1 species